UAAUUAGUUUUCAGUUAAAACAAAUUUAGUUAUUUUUAGUACAAUAUAGUAUGGUUAAAUGUAGUUUUAGUACAGUUUAUUGAACUAUGCCCAAGCCUAGGGACAAACCCUCCAAUAAUAGACUCUACAAUAUUGGGUAAAAGCAUACAUAAUACAUCGAACUUCAUCCUAAAUAAAAUAUUUUUGAUAAAUAAAUCUAAUAUAUCUAUUCUGGAUUGAAGCUUUUGAAGUCCGAUGACCUUCUUCUGAGCAGACCCAGAGAGAGGCAGAGGAAAGCAAUUGUCUGACUCAACAAUUUGACACUUUCCUGCACAGAAUAAAAUAACCACAAUUGCGAAUUCUUAAAGCCAUCAAUUAUCCUUCUUAAAUAGUGUGUAAUUGGGAUAAGUCAAGUUCUUCCAAGAAACAAUAAUUUAUGAUAUGUUAGCAUUCAGUUGAUGCCAUCUCCAUUGAUAAAUUACCCUCAAUGUGGCUCCCAAGAAGUUAUUUUCUGUAUAACUAACUCAGAUUGCACCUGUUAAUGUAGUCAUGACAGCAGUAAAUCAGUUCACUGAUCCCCGUAUUAACCUCGUUGUCAUGCCUGCAAAUUGCAUAGCGAAGCACAGCAGAACUUUUUGAACAUGAAUAAAUGCAAACUGAAUCCCAUGUGUUUCAAACUUUCCAUAAUUGAUCCCUGCUGAGUGAUAAGCACUAAUCAUAGAAGUUUCUACUGAAUUUCAUUUUCCCUCAAUCUCCACUAUCAUAGAUUUUGCGCUUGAGACAGCAUUUUCUGAUGAAUUUCUAUACUGACGAAGUUCACUGGGAUCCUUACAGUCCUUCAGCAUAUCAGAAAAUGCUUUAGCUUUCCGAAUUAUAGAUUUUCUCCGUGUAAGAGCAUCUUCUCUGUCUCCACCAUAAGUAUUUGGCAAGUUCCCAGAAUAGGGAACAGAAGACAUUAAUUUGCAAAGCUUUUGAGCCAUUUCAGUCAUACCUUGUCUCUUUAACUCAGCUUUCAUUCUCUGGAAAGUGAGAUACUGAGGAACUAUACCCCUUCUUAUCAUGUCCUCAAAUUCAGCAAAAGCCUCUUCCAACCUCUGCAUUUUGCAGAGCAAAUGAAUUAACAUGGUGCUGGUAGCCAAGUCCAUAUCAUAUCCAUUAUGCCUCAUUUCCUUGCUAACUUGAACUGCCAUGUCUAACUUCCCCUCUUCACAUAACAUCUUCACCAAAAGAUGGUAAGUUAAGCGGUCUGGGGUAUAACCAGACUCAAUCAACUUUGCAUACAGGUUCAUCCCCUCCUCAACUUUUCCACAUCUUGAAAAGUACCUAAAAAAGUAGUUAUAGGUAGUGGGACUUGGGACGAAGCCCCUGCUUAUCAUCAUUUUAAGAAUCUUACUAGCACCAACAAGAUCUGCAGCCUUGCAAAACCCCUUUAUGAGAGAAUUAUAUGUUGAAUCAGUAGGGCCAAUUUCCAAAACAUGAAAUCGUUCCAACAUACCCAAAGCCUCUUUGAAUCUUCCAGCUUCUGCUAGUGCAUCAAUUAUUGGGUUGUAUACAAUUGCAUUUGGUGCAAUUCCUUCUCUGGUCAUAUCACCAACCGUUUCGAGUGCUUUUUCUACACGUCGCAUCCGGCAAUAUCCUUCCACAAGGGUACCAUAUGUCACAACACUUGGUCUCACGUUCUCCUUCUUCAUCUCUGCCCAAAGUCUCUCGCCCUGCUUAAGUUUCCUCGAUCGAAACCAUCCAUUCAACAUUAUGUUAUAAACCCGAAUAGAAGGAACCCAACUUAAGUCCAACUCCUUUUUCCAAAGGAAAUACUCUGAAGCUUCCCUCACCGACCCUUCUUUACAAAGUGAAUCCAUCAAUAUCUCAAACAAACUCAUUUCUGAGCCAGAAUCCACAAUGGACUUGUUAUCUUUAGCGAAUUCAUAAGUUCUGAUUGCAAGUUUGGACAUACCUG
rnacentral:sRNA from 1 species